CUCCACUCUCAGCCUUUUGGCUAAGAUCAAGUGUAGUAUCUGUUCUUAUCAGUUUAAUAUUAAGCUCUUUUUAAGUAAAUUUGAUAGAAGUAGAUUCUCUGCUUAAAGUUAAAAUAUUUUCUUUGAAAUUAUAAGAACAUUAUGUCCAAAGCACAGGCUUCCUUGCAAAGAGAAAUCUAGGGGGACUAUGU